GUUCGUCAAGCCUACCAGAGGUUUUCCCCUUGCUCUUGUCUUUUCUAUAGUUCCUGUUUUCUAGUUUUGAUCAUUCUGCCUGCCGUCUUGUACCUUGCCCCACCACUAUCAGGAAUCUAGGGGCGUAACACAGGCAGAUUGGACAGGCAGGCAGGCUCAGAGACAGGAAAGGCAAGGGUCAAAACCAGGAGGGCGAGAAAAAGGAGAGACUGGGAAAAGCAGGAGCUGAGAACAAAAACGCCUGUUGACUUGACGAACUGGCAACGGACAAACAGAGAACACAGGGACUCCAAGAUUCAACGUUGUCUACGCAAAACAAUCACGGCCAGUAUCAGCCCACCACUCAAAGAUUCAGCAAUGACCUGAUGGAGUCCGUCCUGGAGAGACGCAAGGACAAAUACUGGGAGCUCAAAUCCUGUGGAAGAGGCCGUUGUCUGGCUUCCAACAUUGCCCCAUCCCAAAACCCAGUGAGGAGGUCAUUAUUGGUUUAUUCACAUCUCCAUUUGCUUUUGUAGAAGCAGCAGCUAUUCUUCCUGGGAUCCACAAAAAAACACGACAAGUAACAAAACACUGAUACACAUAGAUCAUUGCAGCACACUAUUCUAACACCCCCAACUCCCACCGUAUCCACGGACAUGGUUUGCCUUGCACUAUUACCUAAUAUAAACACACUCUAAUGUAACAUAAAUUGUUAGCCUCUGGUCAUUAUCACUCUGCGUCUAUGGAUUAACAAAAAAAAAUGUUUUACUAUAGGCUACUACUGUACAUAACAGCACCGCCAUGACUACGUUAUACUGUCUAUUUUAUUGUAGAUUUGAACCUUUUAUUUAUGUGAAGUGUCUGAAUGCCUUCUCUAUACUGUGUAUUGUACAUUAUGUGCAGUGAUCUGUAUUGUGUUGAAAAAAAUAAAUAUGUCUUUGCCAG
rnacentral:lncRNA from 1 species